ACGUGGGAGGCGAGCGUUAUCCGGAUUUACUGGGUGUAAAGCGCGUGCAGGCGGAACGGAAAGUUGGAUGUAAAAGCUCCCGGCUUAACUGGGAGAGGUCGUUCAAAACUACCGAUCUAGAGUACAGUAGAGGGAAGUGGAAUUCCGGGUGUAGUGGUGAAAUGCGUAGAUAUCCGGAGGAACACCAGUGGCGAAGGCGGCUUUCUGGACUGUAACUGACGCUGAGUCGCGAAAGCUAGGGUAGCAAACGG
rnacentral:rRNA from 1 species